rnacentral:piRNA from 1 species
UGAGGCAAUUCCUGGCUGCUUCA